CCUUUGACGUUAGCGGCGGACGGGUGAGUAACACGUGGGUAACCUACCUAUAAGACUGGGAUAACUUCGGGAAACCGGAGCUAAUACCGGAUAAUAUUUCGAACCGCAUGGUUCGAUAGUGAAAGGUGGUUUUGCUAUCACUUAUAGAUGGACCCGCGCCGUAUUAGCUAGUUGGUAAGGUAACGGCUUACCAAGGCGACGAUACGUAGCCGACCUGAGAGGGUGAUCGGCCACACUGUAACUGAGACACGGUCCAGACUCCUACGGGAGGCAGCAGCC
rnacentral:rRNA from 1 species